AUACGGAGGGUGCAAGCGUUAAUGGGAAUUACUGGGCGUAAAGCGUACGUAGGCGGUUCGUUAAGUUAGAUGUGAAAGCCCCGGGCUUAACCUGGGAACUGCAUUUAAAACUGGCGAACUAGAGUUGAGUAGAGGGGAGUGGAAUUUCAGGUGUAGCGGUGAAAUGCGUAGAGAUCUGAAGGAACACCAGUGGCGAAGGCGACUCCCUGGACUCGAACUGACGCUGAGGUACGAAAGCGUGGGUAGCAAACGGGAUUAGAAACCCUGGUAGUCC
rnacentral:rRNA from 1 species